CCACCCUGGGAUACUUUGUUAUGGGAAAUACAUGCCAACAUGGAGCUGCGCGUAAAAGGUGGCUCUCAUUGUUGUGAACGGCCAGUGACUCGUCGUUUCUCCACUUCUCAGUUGUUAUAAAGUUGCUGAUCCUUUAUGCUUUGUCCUUUUGUUAUAAGUUUAUUGCGUCAUAAGCCUGAUUCCAUAUUGUAUCAGUUGCUUUGCAGUUGUCGUUUACCUUAUAUGCUUUGUCCUGUUGUUAUGUCAACCUUUAUUCUGUCAUACAGAC